AUUGAACGCUAGCGGGAUGCCUUACACAUGCAAGUCGAACGGAGUGGCGAACGGGUGAGUAAUUUAUCGGAACGUGCACAGUAGCGGGGGAUAACUACGUGAAAGCGUAGCUAAUACCGCAUACUAUGGGAGCGGCCGAUUGCGGUUUAGCUAGUUGGUGGGGGAACGGGUCACCAGGGAGAAGAUCCGUGGCUGGUUUGUGAGGACGACCAGCCACACUGGGACUGUGACACGGCCCAGAAUCCUACGGGAGGCAGCAGUGGGGAAUUUUGGACAAUGGGGGAAACCCUGAUCCCGCCAUCCCGCGUGUGCGAUGAAGGCCUUCGGGUUGUAAAGCACUUUUGGCAGGAAAGCGGUACCUGCAGAAUAAGCACCGGCUAACUACGUGCCAGCAGCCGCGGUAAUAC
rnacentral:rRNA from 1 species